UACGUAGGGUGCAAGCGUUGUCCGGAAUUAUUGGGCGUAAAGAGCUCGUAGGCGGUCUGUCGCGUCGGCUGUGAAAACCCGGAGCUCAACUCCGGGCCUGCAGUCGAUACGGGCAAACUGGAGUGUUGCAGGGGAGACUGGAAUUCCUGGUGUAGCGGUGAAAUGCGUAGAUAUCUGGAAGAACACCGGAUGGCGAAGGCGG
rnacentral:rRNA from 1 species